ACUAAUAUGAUACGUUCCGGCCGUGUCCGACUAGAUGUCAAGCAAAUUUAUUUUGUGAAAUCGAUACAGUACGGAUACGCAUAUCUAUUUCAAUUCGUUGCAGUCACGCUUUCAAAAAGGGUAUAAAAUGGAAGGCCCAAGUCCGAAUGAUAUCUUCGUUUUAAAGGAAGCUACAAUCAACAUGAAACUGAUUCUGUUCACUGCUGUACUAGCUGUCUUGGCAUCGGCCUGCUAUGCUGUUGCUGCUGGCCCUAUACAUAGGUCAGACCCACCAGAACCAGAACAAUAAAAGCUGGAACUGGUUUUUGAAAUAUAAUGUAUAUUCAAAUAUACAAAUCAUAAUGCAGAAAUAA